rnacentral:misc_RNA from 1 species
UACGGAGGGGGCUAGCGUUGUUCGGAAUUACUGGGCGUAAAGCGUACGUAGGCGGAUCAGAAAGUAUAGGGUGAAAUCCCAGGGCUCAACCCUGGAACUGCCUUAUAAACUCCUGGUCUCGAGGUCGAGAGAGGGCAGUGGAAUUCCUGGUGUAGUGGUGAAAUUCGUAGAUAUUUGGAGGAACACCAGUGGCGAAGGCGGCUCACUGGCUCGAUACUGACGCUGAGGUACGAAAGUGUGGGGAGCAAACAGG